rnacentral:rRNA from 1 species
GAUGAACGCUAGCGGCAGGCUUAAUACAUGCAAGUCGAGGGGCAGCACGUGUAGCAAUACAUGGUGGCGACCGGCAAACGGGUGCGGAACACGUACACAACCUUCCUAUAAGUGGGGGAGUAGCCCACGAGAAAUUUAGGUAUUAAUACCCCGUAACUAUUAUUGAAUGGCAUCAUUUAGUUAAUUAAAGACUCCGGCGCUUAGUAGA